rnacentral:lncRNA from 1 species
UUAUGGCUCUGAAGGCUUCCAGAGAGACGCAGCCUUUCAUUCCCUUCCUUAUUGGAACAGAUCAUGUUGCAGAGUUUAAAGGCCUCUGGAGCUGUGAUUUAUUUGAAGGGAGAAAUAAGGGAAAUCCAACUAUCUGUUCCCUGGCUCGGAUCAUCCAGUAACUCCCAGCCAAGGGGACGGAUCUGCACCUCCUCCACGGAUUUUUGAUUUUUUUCCCUCCUGUCGCUUACAUUAUCCCGCUCUAAAUAUAUCACCAGACCAGGGAUGACUCCUGACCUGGGCUUCAGCACCUCGCUGAGGUUUCCCCAGCCCUUCCCAGAAUCCCACUAAUAAAUCUCACAGAGCCCUCCCCGAGCUCCUCCACGCCACUGAUGGACCUGCGUGGGGCCAGUUGCUGCCUUGAUCCACAUCUGAGGUAAAGGAGAGGAUCUUGGGGUAAUCUCUGGAAUCGGGUGAUAAAUUCAUCUCACCUGUUCCUGCUCCCCUCCCUUGCUGCUCUCCCAGGCAGAGAAGAGCACAGCAGCUUAGAACCAGGUCAGGAAUUGUGCCUGAAAACCUUUUCCAUGCACUUGGAAUCUCCCCAGGAUGAUGCUGCAGCUCCCACAUCCCAGCAGGACUACGCUCCAGGCUGGGGCUGCCACAGCCGCCUCCCUCCCACCCCCAUGGAUGGAAACUGUUUUUCCCUUCUCUGAGGUUUCCUGCUGCCCAGGGAUGAAGCACCUGGAUGGCUUCUGCUGCUGUGAUGCAGCCCAGCCCAUCCCAGUUAUCCCAGUGGAUCCCACCAGCAGGAGCAAGGUAUCUCCUGGACUUUUGGGAAUGAUGAGAGUUGGUCCCAUCAGCACCAUCCAUCCUUUGCUGUACUCAUGGCAGGAGAAUUCCCUUCUCCACCGUGACCAUCUCACUGCAGGACAGGGAAGGAGUGACCGAGGUUUCCAGCUGGGGAGGGGACCUGGCUCUGGUGGCCACUCUCCUCCUGUCCCAGCCCCAUCCCAGCUCCUCCAGCCCAUGUUUUUGGUGGGCUAUUCCCUCCCCCUGUGCACAGACGGGCUCUGUUUGCCAUUAGCUUCCCCCCUCUGCCCCAGGAGCCGAUCCCAGCACUAAUUCUCACGCAUGUUUCGGGUAAAUCUACUUUCUUUCCCGGGAUGAAUUGUGGUUUCCAAGCACCAUUAAUCAUUUCCCUUUAGAAAACAGCACUGGGGGGCUGGAAACACAUUGCUCCUUUAUUUACUGGGGGAUGACCUGGCACGCUGGCACCCAGCCACGGGGCUGGCGCCUGCGGGACGACAAGGGGAGUGCAGAGAAGCCUCGGGGAGAGCUCCCCUCCUGUGCUGGGAACCAGCUCCCAGCGGGAUCACCCACCCAGGACAGAGCCCAGCUCCUGCCCAGGGGCUCACGGAGAGAGGGGACGGUGAUGGAGAGGAAAACGCUGGGAAUGCC